rnacentral:rRNA from 1 species
AGUGAACGCUGGCGGUAGGCCUAACACAUGCAAGUCGAACGGCAGCACAGUAAGAGCUUGCUCUUACGGGUGGCGAGUGGCGGACGGGUGAGGAAUACAUCGGAAUCUACUUUUUCGUGGGGGAUAACGUAGGGAAACUUACGCUAAUACCGCAUACGACCUACGGGUGAAGGCAGGGGAUCUUCGGACCUUGCGCGAUUGAAUGAGCCGAUGUCGGAUUAGCUAGUUGGCGGGGUAAAGGCCCACCAAGGCGACGAUCCGUAGCUGGUCUGAGAGGAUGAUCAGCCACACUGGAACUGAGACACGGUCCAGACUCCUACGGGAGGCAGCAGUGGGGAAUAUUGGACAAUGGGCGCAAGCCUGAUCCAGCCAUACCGCGUGGGUGAAGAAGGCCUUCGGGUUGUAAAGCCCUUUUGUUGGGAAAGAAAAGCAGCAGGUUAAUACCCCGCUGUUCUGACGGUACCCAAAUAAUAAGCACCGGCUAACUUCGUG